rnacentral:lncRNA from 1 species
AUAUUAACUAAUUUAGAAAAUUCUGUUAGCGACUUAGCUGGCUGCUUUUUUCACGGCCAAACUAAAUACUGCACUUUAAAAUACACCCCUGCAUUCGCAUGUGAUUUCUCCUUUUAGGCUAGGAAUGCAAUGUUGAUAUAAUGUCAAAUAAAAUUAAUGCGAGAAUGGGCACUCAAAUGGUACUCCUGUGAAGGGAAUUUGUUAGACUGGGACUUUGAGCGCAAAUGUAUAUAUAAUUAUAUAAUACUCAUGUGAGGAAAGAAUCUUGAAUGUUAAGCUUUAGCAAAUUUAUCACCUUUGUCAGAAAUGCCGUUACCCACAAAAAGCAGGUUGCAAGUAAAUUAAGAUGAAAAUACCAUCAGGUUAGACGCGCCUAGUCUGUCCCAGCAAGUGACUCUUAGAAUUAGCAGGAUGGCCCGUCUGCUGAGUAUCGGAUCCCCCCCUUAUCUAUACAGAAUUCAGAUCAGAUGUCUGAGGCUCUGCCUGAAUACUUCCGCUGUUGACUUUGCAAAUGGACUUCCUCCAGCCCAACCCAGCUCCUUCUCCCACCGCUCACCCCAACCGGCCACUCAGGAAGAGUAAAAAUGGCAGUUAGAGCAAUAACAGGUAUUUUCACUUAAUAGUCAAGGCACUGGAGACUCGCAGAGUGGCCUGCCUCCAUCGAUACAGUGAUAUAACUACUCUGUCUUUUAUUUGUAGUCGCAAAAAAUCUUUUCCAAGUAUGGGAGAAUCACAGAAAAUCACUCUAAUCACUGAAAAGAGCCCUGUUCCCAGGAAAGCAGCCAGUCUUCUCUUGUCAGAGUAAAAGGCAGGGAGUAAAAUUUCCUGUAAACACAGGGGAAAUCUACAUUUACCCCCACACCAAGGAAAGGGGCGAGCAGGACUCACAAGCAGCCACUAGAAUUUACGCACUGAGCCCUGCAAAAGUCUGGGGCGAGGGGAUGCCUUAGGGGAAGGAGCUUCCAAGAAAACAGUUCCUGUGUUUUGUUUUUUACACUGUAGAACUGGGUCCUAAGCACCUGAUAAGGGCCAUCGCAUUCCAUUUUCAUACACUGAUCGCACAUACAAUCAUAUAAUUUUGGAAACUCCACGAUGUUGCCCCGAAAUAAAAUUAGAAGGAAUAAGAAGGAUGGGUUUCUGUUUCUUUCCAGUUACCUGGAUACCUCUGUCUCCUGGAAAACUCCCAAAAGAACAGCACACGAAUCAUGAAGGUCCUAGGAGGGAUUCCUCCAAACGCGGGAAUCAUAGA